UAACCAUGUGAAGGAAAUGUAAACAGUUGAAUCGUGCUAACAUUUUUCGAAGCCGAUUUUCAGCCGGCAGUUACCUGGUCGUGGUGAGCCUCGCUGAAUUGCUUCCAAGAUAGCUGUGCACACUGUUGUUGUUCCAAAAAGCUGCUUUCAUUUUUCGUUCUCGCCUUUUCUCUUUCCUAUUAUUUUGCGUCCUUCAUCCAUUUUUAUUUUACAAAGUGACCGCACUUUCACUCAACGUGAAGAGUUGAAUCCCGUGGAUAUAUAUAUAUCCACGUCGUAUAUAAUUUCUUACAAUGACAGACUCGCAAAAGACAAGUUUCCGAACAAAACGUAUUGUAAGCAAACCUUUGUGAUAUAUGACAACCUCGUCAUCUGAUGAAGCCCUUAAGCGACAGAGAAUGGCAAAGGCAGUAGAUAUUGAUGAUGAUAUCAAUGAUCUUCGAAGAAUGAUGAAAUAAGAUGCUGAACGAUGCAACGAUGCCUUAUUGCAUAGUUUUAUGCAACCAAAUUGUAAUGCGCAACAACAAUCUGACCUGUGCACUUAGUUAAAAAUAAUGGAGCCACAACCACACUCAUACUCGCAGUCACAAAUACGAUCAGAGUUGUACACAUAUUCGGUGCCACAAACACACUCCGAUCUACACACUCACUCGCAUCCACAAACAGUAGCAGAGCUAAACACACACUUGCAGCCACAAACAGUAGCAGAGUUACACACACACUCGCAGCCACAAACAGUAGCAAAGCUACACACACACUCGCAGCCAGUAACAGUAGCAGAGCUACAUACACACUCGCAGCCAGAAACACAGCUAGAUACACACUCACAGCAUGAAAAUGACUCCAAUACAUACACACAUUUACAACAGCGAAUGGGCCCAUAUGGCCAAGCAACAAACAGUCCCAACUAACGUACAGAGGAAGGGAGACAGCAGCAUGUAUGGACAUACUUAUCACAACUUUGCGCAGGCUGGAGACAGGACAAAUAAUAGGAGAGAUGGGGUGCGUUCGGGGAGCACGCUAUUCGCACAAUAAGUAUCUAAGACCGUUCGAGGAGACGCUUUGUGGCGCUAUAAAAUCGAUAAUGACAUCACUCUCAAAGCAGCGUGACGUCAUUAUUCGCGCAAUUUUUCGCUAUCAUUUUCGAGGUAGGGCAGCAAAUGCUAUUAGCGCUAAUUGGCGCUUAUUCUUUCCUCGAACGUUCGAUUGUGCUUUAAAGUGUUAGUCUAUGAUCUGUUCUUUUUAACUGCUGUUCUUUCAACCAAUUACAACAGUGCAACCAGAAAGAACAAACCAAUUGCGUCAAAAGUCAAAUAAAGACAAUUUAUUAAACUGUGAGAAACUGUAUUCACAAUGGCUCAACCACUUAGUUAAAUAUCUGAAAAUGUCGAAAUUCAUCUUUUAGAUGAAAACGAUGUGACAUACACAAUAAAAGUAUCGCCAAAUGAUGCAGCGCGUGCAGAAAAUGAUACGAUAUUUACUACUUAUCUUCUAGAAAGAACAAAAUCACAAGAUUCAGAUUUUGAUGCAGCAAGUCUGUCAAUGGAGUCUUCCAAUUCUGAGGAUAAUAAUGAAUCAAUGUUUAAAUGGUCUCAUGCGGCAAUUCUAUUGCUGGUAGAAAAGUAUCGGCUGCAAAAAAAUAACAUUGUAUCGGGUAAAAUAUCCCAGAAAAAAGUAUAGAAUAAUAUUGCAUCAGCAUUAUUUGUUAAAGGCUAUAAUGUCACUGAACCUCAAUGUCUUUCAAAAUUUCACGGAAUGAAACGAACUUAUAAAUCUAUAAAAGAUCACAAUAGCAAAUCAGGGAAUAAUCUUAGAACAUGGCCUUAUAUGGAAGUCAUGGAAUCUUUGCUUGGUGAACGACCUAUUAUGUCGUCUCCAGCAAUAGCCUCUUCAAGCACUAUUCAAAUUGUCAGAAGCGCAAGGCACAAGAAAGUACAUCAAACAUUGCUGAAUCAAUUUUACAAAGUCGGAAAUUGGCUGAGAACAAUAGUGAUCAGAGGCACAAAGAAAACAUGGACUUUGAAAAGCAAAUGCUAAAAUUCAUGAGUAAAAUUUUAGACAAAUUAUAAAUGUUUUUAUUUUAAUUUACAUGCAACAAAGAUAAAACGAAGUUGUAGUACAAAUUAUAAGAUUGUUUCCUUUGUUUUUGAUAAAACAUGUACCAUUUAUUUUCUUGUUUACUUCUUUUAGUACAAUUAAUAUUUUAUUUAGUUUUGUAAAAUAUAGUAUAGUAGCUGGUACAUCUAUUAUACUGCGUUCUGUCUUCCUUAAUAUUUUAAACAUAUUCUUAAAAUUUGCUUUAUUUUUUAAUAUUAAUAAUUAAUAUUAAGUUUAUACACAUAAGUAUUCACUAAUGUCUUCCCAUUGUAAUUUGAAUUAUUUUGACGAUUUUCAACUUUAUGCCUAUACAUACAUAUUUUUAUAAUAUAGUUAAUUAGUUAGAUAAAGUUAUUACGUAAACAUGGUCAUAGACGCAACGCAUAAAGUUGUGAAAAUCGUACAAAUAACAGUUAUAAUAGCAAGAGAUUAAUAACUUCCUGUGUACAUCUGUGAUAAAUUGAAUAAUGAUUAAAUGCAUAAGUGAUACUUAAUGUUAAGAACACUGAUAUAUAAAAUAAGAUUUUUCUUUCUAUGUUGGAACAAUUAAAAUGUUUGGUAAAUAUUUCUGAUGAAAGUUAUGUGGAACAGAAUUACUACAUUCAGUUAACUUAAUUAGUCUAUUAUAACAAAAUUAAUCAAUCAUAUUGAUCAGAAAAAUAAAUUGGUUCAUUAAUUUUGCUGCUUGGUCGAUCGAAAAAGUUAACCAUUGUUAGUGAUAUUAGUUCUUUGUGUAUAACUAAAUAUUACAUUAUACUUAGUAUUACUUAUACAGUGUUACAUAUAUGUAACUUGUUUUUAUUUUUAUUGUACCUCAAGACAAUACAAAGUAUUUCAUUUUUAUUUUGUCGAAGGGAAUGAUUAAUUAAUAUUAAUGCUUGGUCGACCGAUUAAG